AAUUACUGCCAUAUUUCAGCGGAAACGCCCAAUCUCAUCCGAUCUUGGAAGCUAAGCGUUGAUAAGCCUGAUUAGUACCCAGCUGGGUGACCACUUGGGAAUAUCAGGUGCAGUAAAGA